UUGCACAUGAUGGAAAACUAGUUUUGUCUGAUUAUUUUGAUGUUUUCAAAGGAACCACUGAUGCAA